UGCGCGACGUGUUCUAUGAUGGUAAUCCCAAAUAUGAACAAUGCACGGUUGUGUUGCGUGUAGCUUCCACUUUCAUAAGUGGUUGGGGUCAGGUUUGACCUGUUGACCCCUCGGGUCUUCCCUCCAGGUUUGGAUCCUUUGAGAUUUUUAAGUCUGCAGAUGAGCACACAGGGCGUGCAGGCCCCAGCGUGGGGAGGAACGACAUUCGAGUGCAGCUGCUCGACUAUGUCAUCAGCUCCUUUUACCCCGAGAUCCAGGCUGCUCAUGCCAGCAACAACGUGCAGAGGAACGCCGCCUUCUUCCGGGAGGUGACGCGGCGCACGGCGCGGAUGGUGGCCGAGUGGCAGUGUGUGGGCUUCUGCCACGGCGUGCUCAACACCGACAACAUGAGCAUCCUGGGUCUCACCAUCGACUACGGGCCCUUUGGCUUCCUGGACAGGUAUGACCCCGACCACGUGUGCAAUGCCUCUGACAACACCGGCCGCUAUGCAUACAGCAAGCAGCCCGAGGUGUGCAGGUGGAACCUGCGGAAGCUGGCUGAGGCCCUGCAGCCAGAGCUGCCGCUGGAGCUGGGUGAGGCCAUCCUGGCCGAUGAGUUUGACGCCGAGUUCCAAAGGCACUACCUGCAGAAGAUGCGCAGGAAGCUGGGCCUCGUGCAGGUGGAGCUGGAGGAAGACGGGGUGCUGGUGUCCAAGCUCCUGGAGACCAUGCACCUGACUGGUGCCGACUUCACAAACACCUUCUACUUGCUGAGCUCCUUCCCAGUGGAGCCAGAGUCGCCAGGCCUGGCGGAAUUCCUGGCCAGGCUGAUGGAGCAGUGUGCCUCCCUGGAGGAGCUGAGGCUGGCCUUCCGGCCCCAGAUGGAUCCCCGGCAGCUAUCCAUGAUGCUGAUGCUGGCGCAGUCAAACCCGCAGCUGUUCGCGCUUAUGGGCACCCGGGCGGGCAUCGCCAGGGAGCUGGAGCGUGUGGAGCAGCAGUCUCGGCUGGAGCAGCUGAGUGCAGCAGACCUGCAGAGCAGGAACCAGGGCCACUGGGCUGACUGGCUACAGGCAUACAGAGCCCGGCUGGACAAGGACCUGGAAGGCGCCAGGGAUGCUGCCGCCUGGCAGGCUGAGCGUGUGCGCGUGAUGCACGCCAACAACCCCAAGUACGUGCUGAGGAACUACAUUGCGCAGAACGCCAUCGAGGCUGCCGAGCGCGGGGACUUCUCAGAGGCAAGCACACGCCUGUCCCUGUGAUCCCUGGGAGGGGAUCGGCCCCAGACCCCUCUGACCCUCCUGAUCCUCCAGGUGCGGCGGGUGCUGAAGCUACUGGAGACCCCUUACCACUGCGAGGCGGGGGCCGCCACAGACGCCGAGGCCACGGAGGCCGACGGAGCAGACGGCAGGCAGCGCUCCUACAGCAGUAAGCCCCCGCUCUGGGCAGCAGAACUGUGCGUGACAUGAUCUUCAUAACGGCCUCGGCGCGCUCCACACCCCUGGAGUCUCCCGAGGCCCCCAUGUGCUGCUGAGUGGCCGAGACGGUGCCGGGCUGCCCUCUACACUGGGGGAUUCUGCCCACGCGCACCUGUCUUUCCGUGAUGGCAGAGACAUCCAGUCAGGACCUGACCCGUCUCUGUCUGAGGCCGGCUCAGCAGUGCAGCCUGGUCCCUGGGGGCUGGACCCAGGCUCCUAAAUAAACCAGCAACUCCCUCAG
rnacentral:sRNA from 1 species